rnacentral:rRNA from 1 species
CCUAACACAUGCAAGUCGAACGGUAACAGGAAGCAGCUUGCUGCUUUGCUGACGAGUGGCGGACGGGUGAGUAAUGUCUGGGAAACUGCCUGAUGGAGGGGGAUAACUACUGGAAACGGUAGCUAAUACCGCAUAACGUCGCAAGACCAAAGAGGGGGACCUUCGGGCCUCUUGCCAUCGGAUGUGCCCAGAUGGGAUUAGCUAGUAGGUGGGGUAAAGGCUCACCUAGGCGACGAUCCCUAGCUGGUCUGAGAGGAUGACCAGCCACACUGGAACUGAGACACGGUCCAGACUCCUACGGGAGGCAGCAGUGGGGAAUAUUGCACAAUGGGCGCAAGCCUGAUGCAGCCAUGCCGCGUGUAUGAAGAAGGCCUUCGGGUUGUAAAGUACUUUCAGCGGGGAGGAAGGGAGUAAAGUUAAUACCUUUGCUCAUUGACGUUACCCGCAGAAGAAGCACCGGCUAACUAUGUGCCAGCAGCCGCGGUAAUACAUAGGAUGCAAGCGUUAUCCGGAUUUACUGGGCGUAAAACGAGCGCAGGCGGAUUAACAAGUUUGGUAUGAAAGGCUUUUGCUCAACGAAAGUUUGUAUCAAAAACUGUUAAUCUAGAGUGUAGUAGAGAGUUCUGGAAUUCCAUGUGGAGCGGUGGAAUGCGUAGAUAUAUGGAAGAACACCAGUGGCGAARGCGAGAACUUAGGCUAUCACUGACGCUUAGGCUCGAAAGUGUGGGGAGCAAAUAGGAUUAGAUACCCUAGUAGUCCACACCGUAAACGAUGGUUAUUAAAUGUCGGUGUGAUUUGCAUCGGUGUUGAAGCUAACGCAUUAAAUAACCUGCCUGGGUAGUACAUUCGCAAGAAUGAAACUCAAACGGAAUUGACGGGGACCCGCACAAGUGGUGGAGCAUGUUGCUUAAUUUGACGAUACACGUAAAACCUUACCUAGGUUUGACAUCUCCUGCAAAGUGAUAGAAAUAUCAUGGAGGUUAACAGGAAGACAGGUGGUGCAUGGUUGUCGUCAGCUCGUGUCGUGAGAUGUUGGGUUAAGUCCCGCAACGAGCGCAACCCCUGUUGUUAGUUACUUUAUCUAACGAGACUGCUACCGCAAGGUAGAGGAAGGUGGGGAUGACGUCAAAUCAUCAUGCCCCUUAUAUCUAGGGCCGCAAACGUGCUACAAUGGACGAUACAAACUGUUGCCAAAUCGUAAGGUGGAGCUAAUCAGAAAAGUCGUUCUCAGUUCGGAUUGAGGGCUGAAAUUCGCCCUCAUGAAGUUGGAAUCACUAGUAAUCGCGAAUCAGACAUGUCGCGGUGAAUACGUUCUCGGGUCUUGUACACACCGCCCGUCAAACUAUGGGAGCUGAUAAUAUCUAAAAACGUUUUGUUAACCGCGAGGAGGCAGAUGUCUAGGAUAGGAUUGGUAACUGGAGUUAAG